GUUAUAUCUUCUGUUGUUUGUCAAAGGUCCCUUCUGUAAUUUGUUAAAAGUUCCUUAGUAGCAUAGUGUCAUAUUUUAAGUUAUAUCUUGUGUAGUUUGUUAAAAGCCCUUUAAAGUUCCUUGGUAUCAAAGUGUCAUAUUUUAAGUUAUAUCUUCUGUAAUUAGUUAAAAGUCCCUUCUGUAGUUUGUUAAAAGUUCCUUAGUAGCAUAGUGUCAUAUUUUAAGUUAGUUAUCCCGUAGUUUGUUAAAAGUCCCUUAGUAGUAUAGUGUCAUAUUUUAAGUUAUAUCUUGUGUAGUUUGUUAAAAGCCCUUUAAAGUUCCUUGGUAGCAAA
rnacentral:lncRNA from 1 species